rnacentral:rRNA from 1 species
CCCUACGGGAGGCAGCAGUGGGGAAUAUUGCACAAUGGGGGAAACCCUGAUGCAGCAACGCCGCGUGAGUGAAGAAGUAUUUCGGUAUGUAAAGCUCUAUCAGCAGGGAAGAAAAUGACGGUACCUGAGUAAGAAGCCCCGGCUAACUACGUGCCAGCAGCCGCGGUAAUACGUAGGGGGCAAGCGUUAUCCGGAUUUACUGGGUGUAAAGGGAGCGUAGACGGCAUAGCAAGUCUGAAGUGAAAGCCCAAGGCUCAACCAUGGGACUGCUUUGGAAACUGUUAAGCUAGAGUGCUGGAGAGGUA